GAUGAAGAACGUAGCGAACUGCGAUAAGUAAUGUGAAUUGCAGAAUUCAGUGAAUCAUCGAGUCUUUGAACGCACAUUGCGCCCCCUGGCAUUCCGGGGGGCAUGCCUGUCCGAGCGUCAUUGCUGCCCUUCAAGCCCGGCUUGUGUGUUGGGUCGUCGUCCCCCCCGGGGGACGGGCCCGAAAGGCAGCGGCGGCACCGCGUCCGGUCCUCGAGCGUAUGGGGCUUCGUCACCCGCUCGAUUAGGGCCGGCCGGGCGCCAGCCGGCGUCUCCAACCUUCUAUUUUACCAGGUUGACCUCGGAUCAGGUAGGGAUACCCGCUGAACUUAAGCAUAUCAAUAAGCGGAGGA
rnacentral:misc_RNA from 1 species